CGCAACUUCAAAUGCUAGUUCCUUAAAAUCAUCAGGUGGAGAGUCUUUCCCAAAAGCAGAUCGGCAUAACAUCGUAAGAGCAAGAUGUUCAGAUG
rnacentral:sRNA from 1 species